UAAAUAUCUUUUUUUUUUGCUGAAUUAGUGCGCGCAUGUAGUAGUAUCUUUCUAUUUCCCUCUUUCAAUUUCCCUCCCUUAGAGAAUUAGGAGCGAGCGACCUAACUCGAAUUCUCCACCACUGCUGCGCCACCACUGCUGCGCCCACCACCUUUUGCUCCACCACCACGACCACAUUGCCCACCUCAUCUGCCCACCCACGUUUUGCGCGACCUAACUAGAAUUCUCCACCAACACGUGCUCCACCACCACUGCUGCCCACCACCACUGGGUUUGCGCGACCUUGCGCACCACAUUGCUCCACGACUGUUGCCCACCACCUUGCGCCACCCACCACGUGCAACCCUUCUCUUCUCUUCUCUUCUCUUUUCCACCAUUUGAGUGGUUAAUUAGGAAGAAGAGGCUUAGGAAGGCAGAUUAAAGGUCCAACUAUCUCUUCUCUCUUCAUUGCUCGUCGUUGGUGAUAAGAGAGGUAGUCUUCUUGAAUGAGAUGGAUCGUACUUGAAUCUAUGGUAGUCGUGAAUCGAUUGAGUUUGUGAAUGGGGUCUCGAAAUUCUGUAGAAGUGCAUUAGAAUAUCAAACAUCCUCUGGAGCAGUCGACUAGAAUGGGUCUUCUUGAGUUGGUUAUGUCCAAGCUUAGUACGAGAUCACAGUUACGUACAAAACCAAAAGGAGGUGAAAGCAUAUCUCAAGGAUUCUUUGCAAGCAUGUUCUCGUCUUGGAUAUAAGAUCAUUCUUUUUCCUUACAUUGAAUCGUAUGCUUCUUAAACUCACUUUUUUACUUUAAUUAA